GAAUUCCGCCUGUAGCAGUGAAAUGCGUAGAUAUGCGGAGGAACACCGAUGGCGAAGGCAGCCUCCUGGGAUAACACUGACGCUCAUGCACGAAAGCGUGGCGAGCAAACAGGAUUAGAUACCCUGGUAGUCCACGCCCUAAACGAUGUCAACUAGCUGUUGGGGCCUUCGGGCCUUGGUAGCGCAGCUAACGCGUGAAGUUGACCGCCUGGGGAGUACGGUCGCAAGAUUAAAACUCAAAGGAAUUGACGGGGACCCGCACAAGCGGUGGAUGAUGUGGAUUAAUUCGAUGCAACGCGAAAAACCUUACCUACCCUUGACAUGUCUGGAAUGCCGAAGAGAUUUGGCAGUGCUCGCAAGAGAACCGGAACACAGGUGCUGCAUGGCUGUCGUCAGCUCGUGUCGUGAGAUGUUGGGUUAAGUCCCGCAACGAGCGCAACCCUUGUCAUUAGUUGCUACGAAAGGGCACUCUAAUGAGACUGCCGGUGGCAAACCGGAGGAAGGUGGGGAUGACGUCAAGUCCUCAUGGCCCUUAUGGGUAGGGCUUCACACGUCAUACAAUGGUCGGGACAGAGGGUCGCCAACCCGCGAGGGGGAGCCAAUCCCAGAAACCCGAUCGUAGUCCGGAUCGCAGUCUGCAACUCGACUGCGUGAAGUCGGAAUCGCUAGUAAUCGCGGAUCAGCAUGUCGCGGUGAAUACGUUCCCGGGUCUU
rnacentral:rRNA from 1 species